rnacentral:rRNA from 1 species
AAUGAACGCUGGCGGCAUGCCUUACACAUGCAAGUCGAACGGCAGCAUGACCUAGCUUGCUAGGUUGAUGGCGAGUGGCGAACGGGUGAGUAAUGCAUCGGAACGUGCCUUUUAGUGGGGGAUAACGUAGCGAAAGUUACGCUAAUACCGCAUAUUCUCUGAGGAGGAAAGCAGGGGACCUUCGGGCCUUGCGCUAGAAGAGCGGCCGAUGUCGGAUUAGCUAGUUGGUGAGGUAAAGGCUCACCAAGGCAACGAUCCGUAGCGGGUCUGAGAGGAUGAUCCCCCCCACGGGGAUUGAGACACGGCCCAGACUCCCAGGGGGGGCAGCAGGGGGGAAUUUUGGACAAGGGGCGCAACCCUGCUCCAGCCAGGCCGCGGGAGGGAAGAAGGCCUUCGGGUUGUAAAGCUUUUUCGGCUGGGAAGAAAUCGCACCCUCUAAUACGGGGUGGGGAUGACGGUACCAGCAUAAGAAGCACCGGCUAACUACGU